AAACAUGUUUUAAAGAUAAUAAUUUUAAGUYUAAUUUGCUCCMUGAAAUUUUAAAUAGCUGCAGAAUUUUAACUGUAUAAAAGUAGCAUAAUCAAUAGUUUUUUAAUUAAAAGCUGGAAUGAAUGAUUUAAUAAGGUAAUAAUUGUUUCAAUUUUAAUAAAAUUAAAAUUUUUUUUUUAGUAAAAAUACUGAAGUUAAUUUAAAAGACGAGAAGACCCUAUAGAUUUUUAUAAUUUUGAUUUUUUUAAUUAUAAUUAUAUAUUUAAUUAAUAAAAAAAAAUUAUUAGAUUGGGGAAAUUAUUAAAUUAAUUAAAUUUUAAUUUAAAUUAAACAAAAAUUAUUGAUUAUUUGAACUUAAAUUUUAAAUUUUUAGAAUAAAAUACCUUAGGGAUAACAGCGUAAUUUUUUUGGAGAGAUCUUAUUAAUAAAAAAGUUUGCGACCUCGAUGUUGAAUUAAGAUAAAAUUUUAAUGAAGAAGUUAAAAAGUUUUGGUCUGUUCGACCAUUAAAAUCUUACAUGAUCU
rnacentral:rRNA from 1 species